rnacentral:ncRNA from 1 species
ACAGAUUUGGUCCUAGUCCUCGACUUGGCUAACCCUAGAAUGAUACAUGCAAGCUAAAACAAGCAAAACAGUGAGUACAAAAACCCACUCCUACUUUAAAGCGAGGAUACGCCAAUACCCAGCAUCAGGCUCGUCCACAGGCCUACAACGCUUAGCCCACCACACCUGCAGUACUUAACAUUUUACAAUAAGCAAAAGCUUGAUAUAGUCAUAGGAACCAAUGACCGGUAAAUUAUGUGCCAGCCACCGCGGUUAUACAUAAGGCCAUAGUCAACCAUCGUCCUAACAAGCGGAAAAAAGUGGUUAGGAAAGACACAACCUGGGUAAAACCUUACUCUAGUAGUAGCAAGCUUACAGAACAAUAAUAACAAUAGAAAAAGCAACCCCGGAACCUCCAAGCCACCAAAGCUCAAAAAUAAACUGGAAUUAGAUACUCCACUAUAUGAGCCGUCACUUUUACCCCAAUACCAGAGCACUACGAACUAACGUNNNNNNNNNNNNNNNNNNNNNNNNUUUUUAGACCUUCCUGGAGGAGCUUGCCAUCAAACCGAUAACCCACGAAAAACCUCACCAGCUUUUGAAAACUCAACAUGUAUACCAUCGUCGUCAGUCUACCUCUCAAGGGAGUACACCUAACGAGUAAACCUCUCAUAACGUCAGAUCGAGGUGCAGUAAAUAAGCUGGGGAUAGGUGAGCUACAUUAUCAUAAUAAUUCGAAAAUAAACCCAUUUAUGGACGACCUAGUGAAAUUUAGGCCCAAAAUAGGAUUCAGUAGUAACAUCCAAAAGACACUGGAUGUGAAAACACUAGCUCUAAAAUGCGCACACAUCGCCCGUCACUCUCGUCGACUAGAGGAGAAAAGUCGUAACAAAGUAGGCGUAUUGGAAAAUGCGCCUGGAAAACCU